rnacentral:rRNA from 1 species
GACGAACGCUGGCGGCGUGCUUAACACAUGCAAGUCGAACGGAAAGGCCCUGCUUUUGUGGGGUGCUCGAGUGGCGAACGGGUGAGUAACACGUGAGUAACCUGCCCUUGACUUUGGGAUAACUUCAGGAAACUGGGGCUAAUACCGGAUAGGAGCUCCUGCUGCAUGGUGGGGGUUGGAAAGUUUCGGCGGUUGGGGAUGGACUCGCGGCUUAUCAGCUUGUUGGUGGGGUAGUGGCUUACCAAGGCUUUGACGGGUAGCCGGCCUGAGAGGGUGACCGGCCACAUUGGGACUGAGAUACGGCCCAGACUCCUACGGGAGGCAGCAGUGGGGAAUAUUGCACAAUGGGCGGAAGCCUGAUGCAGCAACGCCGCGUGCGGGAUGACGGCCUUCGGGUUGUAAACCGCUUUCGCCUGUGACGAAGCGUGAGUGACGGUAAUGGGUAAAGAAGCACCGGCUAACUACGUGCCAGCAGCCGCGGUGAUACGUAGGGUGCGAGCGUUGUCCGGAUUUAUUGGGCGUAAAGGGCUCGUAGGUGGUUGAUCGCGUCGGAAGUGUAAUCUUGGGGCUUAACCCUGAGCGUGCUUUCGAUACGGGUUGACUUGAGGAAGGUAGGGGAGAAUGGAAUUCCUGGUGGAGCGGUGGAAUGCGCAGAUAUCAGGAGGAACACCAGUGGCGAAGGCGGUUCUCUGGGCCUUUCCUGACGCUGAGGAGCGAAAGCGUGGGGAGCGAACAGGCUUAGAUACCCUGGUAGUCCACGCUGUAAACGGUGGGUACUAGGUGUGGGGUCCAUUCCACGGGUUCCGUGCCGUAGCUAACGCUUUAAGUACCCCGCCUGGGGAGUACGGCCGCAAAGCUAAAACUCAAAGGAAUUGACGGGGCCCCGCACAAGCGGCGGAGCAUGCGGAUUAAUUCGAUGCAACGCGUAGAACCUUACCUGGGUUUGACAUGGAUCGGGAGUGCUCAGAGAUGGGUGUGCCUCUUUUGGGGUCGGUUCACAGGUGGUGCAUGGCUGUCGUCAGCUCGUGUCGUGAGAUGUUGGGUUAAGUCCCGCAACGAGCGCAACCCUUGUUCACUGUUGCCAGCACGUUAUGGUGGGGACUCAGUGGAGACCGCCGGGGUCAACUCGGAGGAAGGUGGGGAUGACGUCAAGUCAUCAUGCCCCUUAUGUCCAGGGCUUCACGCAUGCUACAAUGGCUGGUACAGAGAGUGGCGAGCCUGUGAGGGUGAGCGAAUCUCGGAAAGCCGGUCUCAGUUCGGAUUGGGGUCUGCAACUCGACCUCAUGAAGUCGGAGUCGCUAGUAAUCGCAGAUCAGCAACGCUGCGGUGAAUACGUUCCCGGGGCU